rnacentral:ribozyme from 12 species
ACACACACAUUCGCAGACAGACACAAACGGCCAAUAAAACACAACACGCGCCCAGAUACACAGGAAAAUCAGGACACGCAGGCAAAAAAAAGAAGUUGUAUUGAUUAGCUUAGAAUGCAAGCUUUUUUUUAUUUUUUCUUUUAUUCUGUUUAUUUAUUCGAUGAAUACGUAUGCGUGGCUGUGUGACGCGGGUAGGUUGGGCCCUAUAUAUGCAUAUCAUAUAGCUGAUGCAUUUUUGUUGUUGUUGUU